CCCGAGAUGAGUUCUCCCUGAGACUUUAAGUCUCCUGAAGGAACGUUGAAGACGACGACGUUGAUAGGUCGGGUGUGUAAGCGCAGCGAUGCGUUGAGCUAACCGAUACUAAUGAACCGUGAGGCUUAACCUUACAACGCCGAAG
rnacentral:rRNA from 1 species